rnacentral:rRNA from 1 species
GACGAACCGAGCGAACGUUAUUCGGAAUCACUGGGCUUAAAGGGCGCGUAGGCGGGCCAUCAAGUCAGGGGUGAAAGCCCCCAGCUCAACUGGGGAAGUGCCUCUGAUACUGGUGGCCCUCGAGGGAGGUAGGGGCGUGCGGAACUUCCGGUGGAGCGGUGAAAUGCGUAGAUAUCAUUUGGAACGCCAAUGGUGAAAACAGGUAGCUGGGAGUGUGCUGACGCUGAGACACGAAAGCCAGGGGAGCAAACGGG